rnacentral:rRNA from 1 species
AUUGAACGCUGGCGGCAGGCCUAACACAUGCAAGUCGAACGGUAACAGGAAGAAGCUUGCUUCUUUGCUGACGAGUGGCGGACGGGUGAGUAAUGUCUGGGAAACUGCCUGAUGGAGGGGGAUAACUACUGGAAACGGUAGCUAAUACCGCAUAAUGUCGCAAGACCAAAGAGGGGGACCUUCUGGCCUCUUGCCAUCGGAUGUGCCCAGAUGGGAUUAGCUAGUAGGUGGGGUAACGGCUCACCUAGGCGACGAUCCCUAGCUGGUCUGAGAGGAUGACCAGCCACACUGGAACUGAGACACGGUCCAGACUCCUACGGGAGGCAGCAGUGGGGAAUAUUGCACAAUGGGCGCAAGCCUGAUGCAGCUAUGCCGCGUGUAUGAAGAAGGCCUUCGGGUUGUAAAGUACUUUCAGCGGGGAGGAAGGGAGUAAAGUUAAUACCUUUGCUCAUUGACGUUACCCGCAGAAGAAGCACCGGCUAACUCCGUG